GACGAACGCUGGCGGCGUGCUUAACACAUGCAAGUCGAACGGUAAGGCCCUUCGGGGUACACGAGUGGCGAACGGGUGAGUAACACGUGGGUGAUCUGCCCUGCACUUCGGGAUAAGCCUGGGAAACUGGGGCUAAUACCGGAUAGGACUCCUGGCUUCAUGGUUGGGGGUGAAACGCUUUUGCGGUGUGGGAUGGGACCGCGGCCUAUCAGCUUGUUGGUGGGGUAAUGGCCUACCAAGGCGACGACGGGUAGCCGGCCUGAGAGGGUGACCGGUCACACUGGGACUGAGAUACGGCCCAGACUCCUACGGGAGGCAGCAGUGGGGAAUAUUGCACAAUGGGCGCAAGCCUGAUGCAGCGACGCCGCGUGAGGGAUGACGGCCUUCGGGUUGUAAACCUCUUUCAGCUAUGACGAAGCGCAAGUGACGGUAGUAGCAGAAGAAGGACCGGCCAACUACGUGCCAGCCGCCGCGGUAA
rnacentral:rRNA from 1 species